UACGUAGGUGGCAAGCGUUGUCCGGAUUUAUUGGCGUAAGCGCGCGCAGGUGGUGCGGUAAGUCUGCCGUGAAAUCUCCCGGCUCAACUGGAGGGCGAGGCUGGUGGAGCUGCCGGACUGGAGGGACUCGAGAGGCCGGUGGAAUUCCCGGUGUAGUGGUGAAAUGCGUAGAGAUCGGGAGGAACACCAGUGGCGAAGGCGGCCG
rnacentral:rRNA from 1 species